rnacentral:rRNA from 1 species
UACGUAGGAUCCAAGCGUUGUCCGGAUUUACUGGGUGUAAAGGGUGCGCAGGCGGACUUGUUAGUCAGAGGUGAAAUCUCACUGCUCAACAGUGAAACUGCCUUUGAUACUGCAGGUCUUGAAUCCAGAAGAGAGUUGUGGAAUUCCGAGUGUAGCAGUUGAAAUGUGUAGAUAUUCGGAAGAACACCAGCGGCGAAGGCAGCAACUUGGUCUGGUAUUGACGCUCAGGCACGAAAGCAUGGGGAUUAAACAGG